rnacentral:lncRNA from 1 species
AUCCGGAAAUUGAACCAAAUUAAAACCCAAUAUCUGGAAAUAAAGAAGGUCCACGCGAUGAUGAUGUUGUUGAGAAUAAAUUUUUGAGAGAUUUAUCUCCGAUUUAUAAAUAGAAGACAUUGAAGUCGUAGAUCUUGUAUUUUAUUGGUAGUUUUGUUUCUGAGUGUGAGUUCCAUGUUGUCUGGGAGCCUUGCUUUUAGUUUAAUUUCUUCUAGAUUUUUUGCGGUUGUGUUUGGUUUUCUCCCUUUGUUUUAGGCACAUUGGUUUUUAUUUUUUAGGGGAUUUGGUUUUUUAGUGCUUCGGCUGGGUGGCACUUGUUGUGCUAGGAGUUUGUUUGUUUGCCUUUUUUUUUCUCCCCUUCAAGAAAGUUGCAGAUUUGUUGUUGAUGUUGUAGAUGAAGAAUCAUUGAUGAAUUUUUUACUGGGUUUGUCUGUAACUGAAAAUAAUAUUUUCUUUUUAUUCCGUCAAAAAAAAAAAUUGUAAAAAAAAUAGUUAUCUACUACUAC